rnacentral:rRNA from 1 species
GGCGUAAAGCGAGCGCAGGCGGUCUUUUAAGUCUGAUGUGAAAGCCCACGGCUCAACCGUGGAGGGUCAUUGGAAACUGGAAGACUUGAAUGCAGAAGAGGAAAGUGGAAUUCCAUGUGUAGCGGUGAAAUGCGUAGAUAUAUGGAGGAACACCAGUGGCGAAGGCGACUUUCUGGUCUGUAAUUGACGCUGAGGCUCGAAAGCGUGGGGAGCGAACAGGAUUAGAUACCCUGAUAGUCCACGCCGUAAACGAUGAGUGCUAAGUGUUGGAGGGUUUCCGCCCUUCAGUGCUGGAGCUAACGCAUUAAGCACUCCGCCUGGGGAGUACGGCCGCAAGGCUGAAACUCAAAGGGAAUUGACGGGGACCCGCACAAGCGGUGGAGCAUGUGGUUUAAUUCGAAGCAACGCGAAGAACCUUACCAGAUCUUGACAUCCUCUGACCACCCAAGAGAUUGGGCUUUCCCUUCGGGGACAGAGUGACAGGUGGUACAUGGUUGUCGUCAGCUCGUGUCGUGAGAUGUUGGGUUAAGUCCCGUAACGAGCGCAACCCUUAUUGUUAGUUGCCAGCAUUCAGUUGGGCACUCUAGCGAGACUGCCGGUGAUAAACCGGAGGAAGGCGGGGAUGACGUCAAAUCAUCAUGCCCCUUAUGAUCUGGGCUACACACGUGCUACAAUGGAUGGUACAACGAGUCGCGAGACCGCGAGGUUCAGCUAAUCUCCUAAAGCCAUUCUCAGUUCGGAUUGCAGGCUGCAACUCGCCUGCAUGAAGCCGGAAUCGCUAG